GAUUAGAGCUUGCUCUUAUGAAGUUAGCGGCGGAGGGGGGCCCUGGGUAACCUGCCCAUAAGACUGGGAAACUCCGGGAAACCGGGGCUAAUACCGGAUAACAUUUUGAACCGCAUGGUUCGAAAUUGAAAGGCGGCUUCGGCUGUCACUUAUGGAUGGACCCGCGUCGCAUUAGCUAGUUGGUGAGGUAACGGCUCACCAAGGCAACGAUGCGUAGCCGACCUGAGAGGGUGAUCGGCCACACUGGGACUGAGACACGGCCCAGACUCCUACGGGAGGCAGCAGUAGGGAAUCUUCCGCAAUGGACGAAAGUCUGACGGAGCAACGCCGCGUGAGUGAUGAAGGCUUUCGGGUCUUAAAACUCUGUUGUUAGGGAAGAACAAGUGCUAGUUGAAUAAGCUGGCACCUUGACGGUACCUAACCAGAAAGCCACGGCUAACUACGUGCCAGCAGCCGCGGUAAUUU
rnacentral:rRNA from 1 species